UAGUCCACGCCGUAAACGAUGGUUACUAGUUGUUGGGAUUUAUCUCAGUGACUAAGCGAAAGUGAUAAGUAACCCACCUGGGGAGUACGUUCGCAAGAAUGAAACUCAAAGGAAUUGACGGGGGCCCGCACAAGCGGUGGAGCAUGUGGUUUAAUUCGAUGAUACGCGAGGAACCUUACCAGGGCUUAAAUGUAAGUUGCAUAGAUCAGAGAUGGUCUUUUCUUCGGACUACUUACAAGGUGCUGCAUGGUUGUCGUCAGCUCGUGCCGUGAGGUGUCAGGUUAAGUCCUAUAACGAGCGCAACCCCUAUCGUUAGUUGCUAGCAGGUCAUGCUGAGGACUCUAACGAGACUGCCGGUGCAAACCGUGAGGAAGGUGGGGAUGACGUCAAAUCAUCACGGCCCUUACGUCCUGGGGCUACACACGUGCUACAAUGGGUAUAUACAGAGGGGCAGCUACCUAGUGAUAGGGAUGCGAAUCUUGAAAGUAUAUCUCAGUUCGGGAUC
rnacentral:rRNA from 1 species